rnacentral:rRNA from 1 species
UACGGAGGAUCCGAGCGUUAUCCGGAUUUAUUGGGUUUAAAGGGUGCGCAGGCGGGGGAAUAAGUCAGUGGUGAAAAGCUGCCGCUCAACGGUAGUCUUGCCAAUGAUACUGUUUUUCUUGAGUAUGGUUAAGGUAGGUGGAAUGUGCAGUGUAGCGGUGAAGUGCAUAGAGAUUGCACAGAAGGCCGAUUGCGAAGGCAGCUUACUGAACCAUAACUGACGCUCAUGCACGAAAGCGUGGGGAUCAAACAGGAUUA